CAGCCGUAAACUAUGCGCGUUAGGUGUACUGGUGACCACGAGUCACCGGGGUGCCGAAGGGAAACCGUGAAACGUGCCGCCUGGGAAGUACGGUCGCAAGGAUGAAACUUAAAGGAAUUGGCGGGGGAGCACCGCAACGGGAGGAGCGUGCGGUUUAAUUGGAUUCAACACCGUAAAACUCACCAGGGAAGACUGUUACAUGAAAGCCGAGAUGAAGACUCUGCUAGAUUUUCAGAGAGGAGGUGCAUGGCGUCAGUGACU
rnacentral:rRNA from 1 species